rnacentral:rRNA from 1 species
CACGUAGGGACCAAGCGUUGUCCGGAUUUAUUGGGCGUAAAGAGCUCGUAGGCGGUUCAGUCAGUCGGGUGUGAAAACUUCGGGCUUAACUCGAAGCAUGCAUCCGAUACUGCUGUGACUUAAGUCAGGUAGGGGAGUGGGGAAUUCCUGGUGUAGCGGUGAAAUGCGCAGAUAUCAGGAGGAACACCGGUGGCGAAGGCGCCACUCUGGGCCGGUACUGACGCUGAGGAGCGAAAGCGUGGGUAGCAAACAGG